CGGCGAGGGGGACACCGAGGGGACAGCGAGGGGGACAGCACAGUGGACGGCGAGGGUGGCGGCGAGGGUGACACCGAGGGGACGGCGCAGGGUACAGCGCCAGGGACAGCACAGGGGGCAGCGCAGGGGACACCGUGCACCGCUGCCGGGGCCUCCCACCGCCGUCCGAGGCCAGCACAUUCCUGAGUGUGCGGCUCGCGACCCCUGCACGGAGGCCUGGUCGUGCGGGGAGGAGCAGGACCUCGGACCCACGGUGGCGCCGCCCGGGCCAGGUCCCCAGCCCGCCGCAGGGCCCGAGGAGCCGGGUGCCAGCCUGUCCCGCAAGUGUGGUCCCAGCUGCUCAGUGGGGACACUCCUGCGGGAGCGGGGCUCCGGGAAGCACAGCAUCCUCACCGGGGGUUGGCGACCCGGCCGCGUGUCUCCGAGUGGCCGCUCCGUCACCUUUCUCCACGGUACCAACCCACGGGUCGUCCAGAGUGUAUGCGUGCACUCAUGACUUAAAAAAUACAUUUUAUUUAUUUAUGAGAGAGAGAGAGAGAGACAGAGAGACAGAGAGACAGACAGACAGAGAGAGAGACAGAGAGACAGAGAGACAGAGAGAGAGAGAGAGAGAGGCAGAGGGAGGAGCAGGCUCCGGGCAGGGAGCCCGACGUGGGACUCGAUCCCGGGACCCCAGCGUCAGGCCCUGGGCCGAAGGCAGGUGCUACCCCGCGGAGCCCCCCGGGCUGCCCCCCUAUUAAGUAGCUCUGCACCACACGAGCCCGGCUCGGCCGCGGAGACCCAGGGCCGCACGCUCCAGGGGCUGCGCCAGCCCGGCCCCCCACUUAGACCUCCUUAAAUCCUGGUUAGUUUAGGAAUUCUCGGGAGCUUCAUAAAAACCAGCACUUCAGCCCCCCCGUGACAGGCUUAGCUCUGGGAGGCAGGAGCGAGGCACUUAGGCAACCGCUUCACUGACGCUGCUGUGCUGCUACCAGGCCCCACUCGGAAACCGUUUCAGUGGCUCCAGGACAGCUGUCCCCCGCCGGCCGCUCCCUCAUGUCCUCCGCGUCGCCCCACCCCAGGCCUGGCCGCUGCCAGGUGUCAGCUCCCAGCAGCUUCCGAGGCCGAGGUGACCUACUCCGUCAGAGAUGCUCUCCCGGGCGGCCGCGGCGAGCCGUACCCCAGGGACCUCCCCCAGCUCUGACCAAGCAAUGCAUCAGCAGGAACCUUUAUUUUUAUUUUAUUUUAUUAUUUUAAAGAUUUUAAUUAUCUGACACAGAGCGAGCGAGCGAGCGAGUGGCGAGCACGAGCAGGGGGAGAGGGAGAGGCAGACGCCCCACAGCUCCAUCCCGGCCGGAUCAUGAGCAGAGCUGCAGGCAGCCCCCCAGGAGCCCCCCAGGAGCCCCCCAGGAGCCCCCCAGGAGCCCCCCAGGAGCCCCCCAGGAGCCCCCCAGGCGCCGCCAGCAGGAGCUUUCAGGGCGCGCGUUCCCAAUACCGCGCUUCUCACCCAGGAUUCUGUCUACGGGCUAAUGUUACACACACUGUAGCACCCACGUAAGCCAACAGAUGGAUUCAAGAACCGGGCGCCUGGGGGCUAUGAUUUUGCUGGAGCUUGCUUGUCCCGAAUUGUAAGUCUCUCUUAUUCCCAAAUAAACGCAUCUUUCGCUGAUAAAAUAAACUGGCG
ensembl:lncRNA